ensembl:snoRNA Small nucleolar SNORD12/SNORD106
UAUGGUGUAAAGGAUGACCAGACUUUUUUCCCCAGCAGAUCGACCCUGUUGACUGCUUUGUAUACUUAAGCCAAAUUUUCUGAUGCACCUAU